AUGGCCUGGACCCCGCUCCUCCUGGGCCUCCUGGCUUACUGCACAGGUUCUGUAUCUUCCUAUGAGCUGAAUCAGCCGCCCUCAUUAUCUGUGAGACCAGGAGGGGAGGCCAAGAUGACCUGUUCGGGAAACAACAUUGGAAGAAAAACUGCUUACUGGUACCAGCAGAAGCCAGGCCAAGCCCCUGUGUUCGUCAUGUAUGACAGCAGCCGGCCCUCAGGGAUCCCUGACCGCUUCUCUGGCUCCAACUCUGGCAACCUGGCCACCCUGACCAUCACGGGAGUCCAGGCUGAGGACGAGGCCGACUAUCACUGUGCAGUAGCUGAUGGCAGUGGGAGCAGCUGGCAGUGA